CACAUUUCGCAAGGCUCCUGGCUUUAUAACAGCGUGGCGCACGCGGUGACUCCUGGCAGAUUCCUCGGCUCGCUUGAGAGUGAGGAGGCAGAAGCUAAUCCUCCUAACAAUGAUUUUCCUCUUGCAGCAUUUCUUCCUGCUGGCCACAGACUUAGUGCUCGCCAUGACCCUUUCCUGCCUCUUUUAUGCCUUCGCGUGCGUUUCCAUCGCGUUUCUGACCUGCUGCGUUAUCAUCUUCUCCUUUGGCACCGUGGAGAGGAAUGUUGAUGUGAAAAGGAGAGCAAUUGUAAUUCUUGUGUCCAACAGUUCCAUUGGGAGGAUGUUUGCAAGGAACCUGGAUAAAGCAGGUUUCGGGGUGUCUGCUGCACAAUGGUCUGCUCAAGAGGCGAGGACAGUGACAGAAGAGUGCUCAUCGAACAAGGAGGUAGCCCAGCUCCAUCUGACUGAAGAUGAGUAUCAGAAGACAGUGAAAACCUUCAUAGAAAGCCACUUAUCCCUGAAAGGCAUGUACGGGAAGAUGAGGAAGCCGUCGAUCCUGAUAUGGGAUGAAGGGGCACCAGACACACGUGGGGUACCUGAGAGAAAAAUCUCCUGUGAGGGGAAGAAAACUUUCAAGGCUCCACGCAGGAACUGCUUAUUGCAGACAGCUCUGUGUGUCUCAAUCCUCUUUCACCCACUGACCUGUGUCUUGAGUUUCCUGAAGAGAAGCCCACAGCUGCUCUUGCCUCUGCUGAAGUCCAAAAACUGACAGCCAGGAAGGAAACCCACAGAGCACUACACAUUAGCACUGUCACACCACAAUGAAAAAAAGGAGCAUAGCUGGGAUCAGAAGUGACAAACUCCUGGCAGCAGAGGAUUAUGAGCAGUGACUUCAGUUGCAAGACAACAAAAAAAUGUGGAUGAAGACAGAAAACACCUUCAGAACCAUGACACAGGUGUGCAACUUCCUUGUAAGUCUAAUCUGUAAGGAAGAGAACACCAAGACACUGAAAUUUUGGGCUGUUCAUUACAAUGCUGUACUGUGCACACUGGGAUAUGCACAGAGGAAAAAACAUCUGAGGUGAAAGGAAAUAAAGGAAGAACUCUGCUGGGAAGCAAAAUGCUAGGGCUUGGAUUUUAUUAUCUAAAGCCACAACUCAGAACUGCCUGACUGAUGAUAAGAGAUGUCACCCUCCCAGGGAGCUGGAUCCAGGGAGGAAAAGGAAAGCUUUCAAAACAGCUUGUGUAAGACAUUAAACCAGCUUAAUAUCAAAUCAGACUGAAAACAAACAUUUUAAUUCUGUAACAUCAAAGCACUGAGAGAGAACAUGCUAAAGCAGAAAAUUCCUGAAUUAAAAGCUUGAGAUUUUAGUCUUUACACAUUUGGCAAAUAACCAGUUACAUGAAUAAUGCCAAACCCAUAUAUUCUGCAGAACAUCCCAGGAAAUGUUUAGUCAGAAUCCUGCUCUGUCAAUUCUCUCAGUGUAAAAUCCCAUUCUGUGCACAUAACCCUGUACAAUUUCAGCUGAUAACUGUUAUUUUCUCCUCCAAAAUAUGGCAGGGGACAUGUGUGGGCUGCUGCAUAGCUACUGCUUCUCUCCCAAAGUGACAUUCAAGCAAAGGAUGCUGCCUGCUUGUGUACACUGUUGUAUUCAUGGUCUGAAUUAGAGACAUUAUUGGAGACAUUAUGUGAGCAAAGCUCCUGAAGACCUCAGUGGAAGUUUUGCUGGCCCUAGGACUUGGAAAUGGUCUACAUUUGUUUAUAAAGCUUUCCAGUCCAUUGGGAUACAGGGAACUACUGUGUGCAAACAUAAAAUUAUGACUGUGAGGCAAUACCACCAUGAGAUAAAUUAUAACUGCACUUAAAAGUAUGUUUAACACAUAUUAGUUAUAUCGAACUAACACUGAAGUUAUAGACUGCUGAAGAUGACUAAGGGAUCUGAAUGCCCAGAUGCUUUUAAUUUGAGUGGGAAUGAGGGAUUUGAAUUCCUUAAAUAGCGUUGAAUGUUUCAUCACUAAUGUAUAACACAAAAAAAUGAAAGCAACUGGCUUUUCAAGCCUAAAAACCUGGCCAAAAUAUUCUGGCAAUGUCUUUUUAGACACAUUUCCCUAAGCAUACAGCCAUUAAAAUUAGAGAUUUAGAAAAUCCUGAAAGUAUUCCAAGUCUUGAUGAAUGUUUUCAGAAAAAAACCCCAACAAUUCCAACAUGUUUUUCAAUAGAUCACUUGGAUCCAUUUAAUAAAAAUGUAAUUGGGCUAUAAAAGUCUGCUAAAAGAAAAAUAGCUUUAGCACCAAAAUUCCAUAUCUUGCAACUCAGAACAGAAAGAACUGAUCAUCCAAGACCUGUUCUUUCACCUCAGUCUUAACUGCAAUACUUCCAUUUUUUGAACCUUUUUAAGAAAGUGCAGAAUUUGACUUCAAAUAGAACAGAUUUUCCUGGGAAAUACUGUAAAAUUAUUUCCCAACAGAACUGAAAUGUUAGUGGUGACAGAGAACCAGAGGGAAGCUGGUUACAUGAACACAUCCUUUUACCACUUUAAAUUAUGUUAAUAACUAAUCUACAAGCCAAUAUUAUUCCUUUAUAGAUGUCUGCAUGCCUGUCAAAAGAUACUAAGAGAGGAUCCCCUUGGAUUAAAGACUCUCCAGCACUGUCACUCCCUUAGUAACAAUAUCCCUCUAUUUUUGGGGACAUUUUUCUCCUAACUAUCCUCCCCUGAGCAGGGGUCAGACACAGGAACAGCUCCACUGAAGCCAGAGCAGGUAUUAGCCACCUCCACACUGGAUAUUGGGAGGUAUUUCAGACAGCCUGAGGUGAGAAACUUCCCUUCAUGUGUUUAUUGUAUUCAGGAAAGGACAAAGAAGGAGGAGAAGGCAGGGAAGCAAAAUAAUGAUUAGUGUAAUGGGAUUUGCUAUUCUUGUUAAUAGUUUAAUCAAUAUAAACAUACAGAACCCUCUGACGUGCUUGCCAUGCUCAAGUUUCUCUAUAAUUAGCUCAACACUCUUAAGCCAUGGUUAGUACCACCUGCAUUUCUACUGCUCACUUCUGCAACAAAGGAAAAGGCAGGACUGAGAUUUUCUGUGUCUAAAAUUCAGCCAUGCACAAGUGACCAUGCCUUGGUGUGUCCUGGCUGUGCUGGAUACUCCAGACACACAAUGUGGAUGUGACAGGUCUUGGGACAGGUGGGACUUGCUCAAUAUGAGCAGAAUGAUCGUAUGUGUGCUGUGCUCCAAGGCUCUGCUUGCACCAGACUUGCAGGAGGAGCCACACGUGCUUCUCACCUGCACUGGAGACAGCCCAACACUUCCAAGGCUUUGCAGAUCACACACAUCUGGAUCCUGUGCUUGUCACACAGUUUUUCCUUGGAGGAACAACUCAGCAGCAGCCCCUGAGCUGAGAGUUCAUCGGUGAGGUAGUGAAGAGAUGCAAAAGAUAGGAAGGCAAGAGACACAGCAGGAUGAGGCAGAACUGGUCCCAGGGUGGGACAGCACCAGGCCCAUGGAGGUCACUGCAGUGAGGCUGGUGGUGCCACGCAGGCUUUGCUGAGUUUUUUACUAGAGCAGUUGUAUCUGCAAUUUGUGCCAUGUCAAUCAGGGGAUGUUACUGGUGUCAUACCACAGGACACAACAUGUGUUCUAAGGAGCCACAGGCCUUCUUUACAAUCCUUUACCUUGAUUUUAGGUAGACAGAGAAAGAGAGUUUGUGUUAACUUUUGCUUUCAUCUCUCUAAACAGAUAGAGCCAAAAGCAUAUAUAAACAUCAUAUUGGUGUAUCAGUAUAAAGCUCAUUUAAAAGCCUUAAAACUGACUUUGAAAUAAGCUGAGACAAUCUCCAAAUUGACAAGUGCAAGGCAAGAGGGGAAAUAAUCUCUACAAAUGGCAGAUUUCCCUGAGGAACAGCUUUCUCCACUGCAAAGCUCGAAGAGGGGGGCACUCCUCCAUCCAAAUGCCUGUCCCCACAACCUCAGGAGAGGGAAGUUGUGCCAUUUAUAGCUGCUCAUCUGUGAGCAGACACUGCAUUGAAACUGUGACUGCCACAGGCAGCAUCUGUCCGAGCAGCCUGGGUCCCAGAGUACAGGAACUCGGAAAUCAUGAAGUCACAAGAUUAGUUUGCUAUAAUGUGUCUAAUUUAUUUUGGCAUUCCCUAGGGAUGAAAAUAAAUAGCAAAAAUGAGUAUGGGCAAUGCUGUUGUAUCAGCUCCGAGAAGCAUGAAAAACCACAACUGCAAGAAACAAUGUCUCAUGGGUAGUUAUUUUGGCCUUUUAAAUAUUUUUUUUUAAUAAGGGACAACUCACAAGUUUCUAUUGUGCCACUUGGAUGCACUUAGCACUGCACUGUGUCACAGGUCAGCUCGUGCCCAAGGCAAAGCCUGAAAUACCAUUCCUCCCUGGAGCGCCAAGAUCGUCACUGCACAAAUACGUUCAAACAGAUGCAAAUAUUGAUAACGCAGCGAUACGGGAAAAGCUCCAUGCGUCCAAGGAGAAGUUAAAUAACAAUCCUCUCUUGCCUAGGACCAGCAGAACAAACCUCAAACACUGAUCAAAACCUUAAAUACCCACUGCUAUGGCUGAAUUCUUGUUUCAGAAGGGAUCUCCCACUCCUCUGCCUCUUUUCCAGUGGAUGUGAGAACCUGUCCACCCCUACAGACAGGACAGUGAAACUGAUAGGAGCAUUACAGAGUAUGACCUGGGGAAAAGAGAAAGUCAAGGGGUCUGGAGUUCUAAUCCACUGCUCCAGACAGGCUUUGGAUAAUGCUGCUGACCAAUCAUCCCACAGCAUUUGAACUUGAGCAUUUCUGUUAAAGAAAUCUUCACAUUUUCAAGAGCUUGGGUUUAGGAAACCGAGAUCAAGCCAAUUAGACAUUGGUUGUCCCACCAAUUAGUCAGUUUUCCUAAUGAGGAGAAUUCAGUGAAACUGCUUUCCUGGGAGCUUGUUUAUAAAGCAAGUUCAGAAGUCAAGCAAAAAAUACAGUUACCUUGGUUAUUCCCUAUUUGUAGUACUACUGCUGCUGCUUGGAGAGCUGUCAGAAACCUGUUCUACAUUACUGCUCUCUAUCAGCCUCCAAAACCAUCACUGAGGGGCUCAGGCAAAGUGGAACAAAAUCAACAACUUGUACUUCACACACUAAUUAUGAAAUGAGUUUUAAGUUAGAUAUUGUGAUUUACUCCUUGCUUCAUGCACCCUCCUACCCUGUUCUUCUCUGUACUCACACAUUUAAUACUUGUUACCCUAGAAAGUUACACUUACACAUUCAAUGCUUCCAAGAUGGAAAACCUCUGGAUAACUAGAGUUGUACUGCUGAGAAAACAAGAUUCCCUUUCCAUUGAGAUGAUAUUACUGGCUCAGAUUUAGUUAAGUCAGCCUGGAUUUAUGCUGGCAGAUUAGUGUAAAUCAGCCCCAAUAGAAACAGAGGUCUAGAAUGGAUUUCCAGAGAUUAUUUAGUCCUCUGGUCUGGGUAGGGGAGGACAUGCAAAGGCCAUUCCUGACAGGGUCUAGCUUAUUUUGAAAGAGUCACAGAGCUCUCCCAGGAAAUCUGUUCCAGUCCUUCACACUCCCUUAGAAUCAGAUUAGUUACUAAAAAUAAAGUGCCCUGAUUUUCCCCGGAAGCAAUUUAGCCCAAAGAUUCUUGUCUUAACUGCCAGGGUCAGGAAGACCAAAUUAUUGCCUUUUUCCUUCAUAGCAGCUGACAGUGUUUUGGGGAGAAAUAGUCUUCCCCUCAGCCUCUCUCUCCUGAGAAUGAAACCCCCACCAUCUUCCCUAGCAAAUCAAGCCUUUUAGACCUUGGAUCAGUCUUCCUGAGCCUUUUCAUACUCAACCCAGUCCAGCUCAACUUUGAAGUACCCUAGGCAAAAGCAAAUGCUCCUGCUUGCUGGAUUAUUGCACUUUCCAUAGGGGGAACAGUCCUGCUCACUCACUUAAUGUGCCUUUUCCGUAACAGCACGGUGUUGUUUAUUGAUGAUCCGCUUGUGAGCCAUCAAAAUCUUUCAUCCUUAUUGAUAAGUCACCUACACAUGUAGCUGUUGGUCCCCAACCUGUCCUAACUACAGAAUAACCUAUAUGGAGAGUUUAUUGCAAUACAUAAAUCUGUUUCAGCAGAGGGACAAUGCACUGUUUCAGCUGCAUGGCAAGAUGAUUUUGGUGGGUUUUUUACCACCUCUCCACCUGCAAGCUUCAAACUGAAUUCUAAGCCUGCCCAGUGUGCUCACAGCUUUUCUAAAGUGUUGCCAGCUGCAAGUUUAAACUGCAUUCUCCCUCUUGCCUCAGCCAUCCCAUGAAAGACAAAAUAACCACCCCCUAAAACACAUCCCUAUCAAUUUUUCAACCAGUUUUGCAUCCAAAUAUUUUCAGCCAUAUCAUCAUUAUAAAGGCACAUGUGAAGCAGCUUCAGAACUUAAAUCUUUGAGUCUCGUGUCACAAAAAAAAAUUUUGCUGCCUGUUACUCAUCCCCUCAAUUUCUUUUAGGUGCUCUCCAAUAGUUUGGUUAUUUGUUCCAGUGUUUUUCCAGGAACUAAAGGUAAGUUGGCAGGUCUGUAAUUCUAGACCUGCUUGUUAGCACCACUUUUGGACCUACAGCUCAAACCUGCACUACUGGGCUUUGCUCCAACAGACCACUUUAGCCCAUAUUUAAUUAAGAGGGAGAGACAUCUGUGGCUGUAGAGUGGUUGAGUCACAUGCUUAUUGCUACACAUGUGCUUGGAUGUUUUUCUGGUUCCUAAGAAUAGAUUCAUAUAAAAAAACAAACAAAAAAACCCAACACACUAAACCCAAACAAAACAGAGAUGUAUUUUUAUACAAUGCUUACAGCUUUAAGAAUGGAAAUAGCAAGAAAUACUAAACAUUGAUUUUUCACUGGUCCUAGGAGAUCAUUCUCCAAUGCUCUGUGAUCAUCUCCACUAUGGUGACUUCUCCUGCUGCUUCAUUCUCUUGUUUUGUUAAAUCUCUCUUAAAUCUCCCAUAAUACCUAUUACAUUAUGCCUCCAGCACAUUCUUCAGCCUUAUUAGUUCUUCCUUUAAGGGAGAUAAUGAAUUGAUUAGAUGUCACUUAAUCUGUCAUGAACUGCUAUUGACACCUCUUGCAGCAGCUUUCUGUGCAUUCCAAGGGUGUUUUUAUGCUUCUGAAAGAGAGAGUACUGACAGCUCUGGAGAGCAAGACUGAUCUCACUCCCAGGCCAGCUCUGUCCAGAGCAGCUCAAAUCAACAGAGCUCUUAAAUCUCCUGACUUCAGGAUUACCUCAAGCAACAUCCCAGAAGGAAACAGCACAUUGAAAAUGGUCAAAGGACCAGCACACAGCAACAGAGCUCUCCCAGACUCCUCUGCUGCUCCCCAUUGUCCCCUCCAACCCCUCCUGAUCCCUGCCUAGGGCAGUUUGCUUAAACACAGCCCUUGAUCUCGUGCUGCUGAAGCAAAUGAACCACUUACAGCAGUGGAGUGAGCUGGACUGCCCUCCCCACUGGUAAUUCCUCAGCUCUGCCAGUCCAAUGGAUAAUUGUCAUUGGAACAGAGUCAAUGGAUCAUCAGGUGCUGAGUCCCAGCCCCUAACUCCCAUCAGUUUUGCUCUGCUGGGUUUUCCUUCUUUCUGUUGCUGCUUGUUCCUCCCUUCCAAGCCCAGGAUGGAUGUGGUCAGUCAGGUUUUCUUCCACACCUCUUCUAUCUAAUUUCUUAACAUUCUCUCCACAUGAAUCAUUUUCCCAGAUCAGCAAAGAGACCUCAAAGCACACUGCUUAUUCCAGACUAAAUUUAUCUUAUGCAUACAGAAUUGGGGAGGAAUUCCAGCUACCAGAGCUCUCUUGCAAGCUAAUUAUUCUUCAAAGAAGUUUUAGACAGUCCUGGGGAGCAUCUAACUAUUGAUUUUCUACUCUGUAUAAUUUCCCUGCAAAAUGUAAUCAUUCUCCUCCUUUCUCAUACUGUCAUUUGUCUCUCAGAACAACCUGGGAACAAUAAAAUAGUGGGAUAGAGGGCACCAAGAAGGGCACCAUAAAAAAAGAUAUAUCUCUGUGCAAGCAGGGGCUGUAAAAGCAAACCCAAGAAAUGUCUGUAGACCUUGUUUAAUAUUCAUCAGCCAGUGUAGGGUAUAACUGAAACCCAAAUGUAACUGUUCUGAAAAUUCAGGCUAGAAGGAAAUCAAAUGGAGACAGCGCUCUCAGUGUGCUGCCAUUUCAGAGUUUCUCAUUUCAGGAUUUCUAGAAAAAAUGUACCACAGAGGGAAAUGUUAUUGAAUACAUUGGUUGCUUACAAAUGGCUACAUUUUUAUAGAAAUACACUUACUGGGGAAAAAAAAAAAAAAAAAGUGG